GAGCACGUAGGUGGGUUUGUAAGUCAGAUGUGAAAGCCUUCUGUUCAACGGAAGAAUUGCAUCUGAAACUGCGAGUCUUGAGUGUAGGAGGGGAGAAUGGAACUUCUGGUGGAGCGGUGAAAUGCGUAGAUAUCAGAAGGAACUCCGGCGGCGAGAGCGAUUCUCUGGCCUAUUACUGACACUCAGUGUGCGAAAGCUAGGGGAGCAAACGGGAUUAGAUACCCCGGUAGUCCUAGCCGUAAACGAUGGGCACUAAGUAGAGGGGUUUU
rnacentral:rRNA from 1 species